rnacentral:rRNA from 1 species
UACGUAGGGGGCUAGCGUUGUCCGGAAUCAUUGGGCGUAAAGCGCGUGUAGGCGGCCCGGUAAGUCCGCUGUGAAAGUCGGGGGCUCAACCCUCGGAAGCCGGUGGAUACUGUCGGGCUGGAGUACGGAAGAGGCGAGUGGAAUUCCUGGUGUAGCGGUGAAAUGCGCAGAUAUCAGGAGGAACACCUAUUGCGAAGGCAGCUCGCUGGGACGUUACUGACGCUGAGACGCGAAAGCGUGGGGAGCAAACAGG